UACGUAGGUGGCAAGCGUUACUCGGAAUCACUAGGCGUAAAGCGCAGGUAGGCGGUUCGGUAAGUCUUUUGUGAAAGCUCCCGGCUCAACUGGGAGAGGUCAAAGGAAACUACCGGGCUAGAGUGUGGUAGGGGAAACUGGAAUUCCUGGUGUAGCGGUGAAAUGCGCAGAUAUCAGGAGGAACACCGGUGGCGAAGGCGGUUCUCUGGGCCUGUUCUGACGCUGAGGAGCGAAAGCGUGGGGAGCGAACAGG
rnacentral:rRNA from 1 species